rnacentral:tRNA from 1 species
GGCUCUGUAGCUUAGUUGGAAAGCACUUGUCUAGCGAAUAAGGGUCGUGAGUUCAAAUUUCACUUGAGCUA